rnacentral:rRNA from 1 species
UACGUAGGGGGCUAGCGUUGUCCGGAUUUAUUGGGCGUAAAGGGCGCGUAGGCGGCUCUGCACGUCCGUUGUGAAAUCGCCCGGCUCAACUGGGCGGGGUCAGCGGAUACGGCAGAGCUUGAGCAAGCUAGGGGGCAAUGGAAUUCCCGGUGUAGUGGUGGAAUGCGUAGAUAUCGGGAGGAACACCAGUGGCGAAGGCGGCAUCCUGGACCAAUUCUGACGCUGAGGAGCGAAAGCCAGGGGGAGA